CAGUAGCCGCGGUAAUACGUAGGGUGCAAGCGUUAAUCGGAAUUACUGGGCGUAAAGCGUGCGCAGGCGGUUAUAUAAGACAGAUGUGAAAUCCCCGGGCUCAACCUGGGAACUGCAUUUGUGACUGUAUAGCUAGAGUACGGCAGAGGGGGAUGGAAUUCCGCGUAUAGCAGUGAAAUGCGUAGAUAUGCGGAGGAACACCGAUGGCGAAGGCAAUCCCCUGGGCCUGUACUGACGCUCAUGCACGAAAGCGUGGGGAGCAAACAGGAUUAGAGACCCGAGUAGUCCCUGUCUCUUAUAC
rnacentral:rRNA from 1 species